UAGUGCAGCCUGUGAACAACGUAAUUGCAGCUAUUACAGAAUUUCUCUAUAAGUAACAUGCUAGCAAAUGUCACUAUUUAACGCCGUCUGCCUUACGUUUAAAUCUUGAUAAGAAAACUGAAACAUGCAAUACAAGACACGGAGAAAUUUUGAUUUUUUUAUGACAAAUAGUGACUGUUGCCCUACAGUUCCGGUUCUGUCCAUCGUUGUUCUCGAAUUGUUAUACGUGGUUGAGCAGAAAUACUAUGAGCAUCGAAGAAAACAGGAUCGUUUAAAAUUGUAAUAAAUAACAGAAAUAUCUAGUUCAAUGUUUCUGCAAUAUUAAAUAUUUUAAAACUUAAAUUAUAUUAUCAGAUAUUAUUUUCUAGAUUUAUGAUUAUUCAUGAAAGAUAAAUAACCUGGAGCGUCUAACGUUGGCCCAAUCGUUAAAUGGUAAUCAACAUUACUUUACCAGAAACUUCAAGUACGAUGAUCUUAAUAGUCAAGUCGAUCACCAUUCUUCAAUCAUGACACUCGCUACUUACUCCAGAUAUGACGAAUCUCAAAGACAUCACCGAUUAUUUCGCUUGCACCCUUGCUACGAUGAAAUCGUUCGAGAACAUUCACCUUACUCAGAUGCGAUAGUUAAAAGAAUCACGAUUUGUGGAUAAGGUCGAGAAACUUAAUCGAAACAAAUGUUUUAAAAGAAAAACUAACCACGCAUCCCGGGCGAAUCCUCAUAUUUUUCGCAAUGCCGCCCGUCGGGCUCGGGCCGCGUACUCUUGUUCCCUAAGUGCAGGAAAACUGCUAUCGUCGGAAGGUGACUCGUGGACGUGGUGCGCCUGGGCCAGGUGCUGAAGGUGGUGGUAAAAUCGUCCUGGUGGAGGAGGCAGUCCACAUAGUCAGAGGAAAUCGAGACACGAUGGUGGUGGGCUCCGAGGGGACGACGUUACGGAAAGCCCGUAACUUGACUACCUAGCGAUGGAACCGAUUUUAUUCUUUUCUGUUGGCUGACCACAGUUUGUUACAUGAAGAUACUAUCAUGUUCUUGUAAGGUUUUCCUUUUUUGUGGAUCUAUAUUUACAAUAUUUCAAAUUUCAAUGCUAUUUCCUUUCUUAAACUAAGUAGUCGUUUUUGGAGAUAAUCAGGGCAGUAUAAUAGAAAACGUAAUUUAUAUAUUAUAUUAUGUAUUUAUAAUUUAAUAUAAUUUAAUUUAAUUAAAUAUAUUUCA